ensembl:lncRNA
CAAACAUUUAAAUCAAUCAGAACUUUUUUCUCUCAGCUUGUAUCUGUCUAUCUCUCUCUUCCUCCAUCAUUACUCUUCCUCUCUUUCUCCUCCUCUUUUCCUAUGUGUGUGUGUGACAAGACUGUGUGCUGUCGCUAUCUCCUCCUGUGUGUGUCACAGGAGUGUGUGUUGCUUUCCUCCUGCAUGUGUGUGUGUUCUCUCUCCUCAGGAGUGUGUGUUGGCGUGACAGGGCUUGUUGUGGCAUUGUGUAGCUGUCAGCCCCGCGGCUGGAGGAAGAUGUAUGAAGACACAGAGACAGGAGGACAGGAGUGCGUCAGAGAGGAUUGAGCUGUCACUGAUUCACAGCAAACUGCUCGGUCAUCACACUGCUGCUGCUUAGAGCAGGUCAGCGAGACGGAGAAAUAGAGGGGUCUUCUACACACGAGGGGACAGCUGUUGUGCAGUGAAGAUGUUCCGGGACAGCCCAUGCACAGUGGUGUGGGGAGAGCCGUCAGCCAGCCAGGAGCUGCCAGAGCCGUCAGCCAGCCAGGAGCUGCCAGAGCCGUCAGUCAGCCAGGAGCUGCCAGAGCCGUCAGUCAGCCAGGAGCUGCCAGAGCCGUCAGCCAGCCAAGAGCUGCCAGAGCCGUCAGUCAGCCAGGAGCUGCCAGAGCCGUCGAGCUGCCAGAGCCGUCAACCAGCCAGGAGCUGCCAGAGCCGUCGAGCUGCCAGAGCCGUCAACCAGCCUGAACUACCCCUCAGUCCUGAGCUACCUCUCAGUCCUGAGCUACCCUAUAGGUUCAGGUUUUGCGGCCGGAGUCCUCACCUUGGGGGGGGGGGGUACUGUCACGUUCUGACCAUAGAUCUUUUGUGUUUUCUUUGUUUUAGUGUUGGUCAGGAUGUGAGCUGAGUGGGCAUUCUAUGUUGUGUGUCUAGUUUUCCCGUUUCUAUGUUUGGCCUGAUAUGGUUCUCAAUCAGUGGCAGGGCUUAGUCAUUGUCUCUGAUAGGGAACCAUAUUUAGGUAGCCUGUUGUGUGUUGGGUUUUGUGGGUGGUUGUCUUCUGUCUUCGUGUGUCUGCACCAGACAGAACUGUUUCGGUUUUUCCACAUUUGUUGUUUUGUAUUUUGUAGUGUUCACAUUUAUCGUCUAUAUUAAACAUGAUGAACACUAACCACGCUGCGCUUUGGUCCUC